rnacentral:rRNA from 2 species
AAUGGACGCAGUCUGAUGGAGCAACGCCGCGUGAGUGAAGAAGGCUUUCGGGUCGUAAAACUCUGUUGUUGGAGAAGAAUGGUCGGCAGAGUAACUGUUGUCGGCGUGACGGUAUCCAACCAGAAAGCCACGGCUAACUACGUGCCAGCAGCCGCGGUAAUACGUAGGUGGCAAGCGUUAUCCGGAUUUAUUGGGCGUAAAGCGAGCGCAGGCGGUUUUUUAAGUCUGAUGUGAAAGCCCUCGGCUUAACCGAGGAAGUGCAUCGGAAACUGGGAAACUUGAGUGCAGAAGAGGACAGUGGAACUCCAUGUGUAGCGGUGAAAUGCGUAGAUAUAUGGAAGAACACCAGUGGCGAAGGCGGCUGUCUGGUCUGUAACUGACGCUGAGGCUCGAAAGCAUGGGUAGCGAACAGGAUUAGAUACCCUGGUAGUCCAUGCCGUAAACGAUGAAUGCUAGGUGUUGGAGGGUUUCCGCCCUUCAGUGCCGCAGCUAACGCAUUAAGCAUUCCGCCUGGGGAGUACGACCGCAAGGUUGAAACUCAAAGGAAUUGACGGGGGCCCGCACAAGCGGUGGAGCAUGUGGUUUAAUUCGAAGCAUGCGAAGAACCUUACCAGGUCUUGACAUCUUUUGAUCAC